ensembl:snoRNA SNORD12 small nucleolar RNA, C/D box 12
GCCUUUGCAGCUGAUGAUACAGCUUCUUUCCCCAUCAGAUCGACCUUGUUGAUCUCUACACUAUAUUGGCCAGUUUUGUCUGAUGCAUUGGC